CUGACAAGAAUAUUCAUUUACUGUAUCGUCUGAAGUGAGCUGGACCUUCUGGACAUCUCACAGAACAUCACCCUGAUCCAUUACGUCGAUGACAUCGUGCUGAGUGGACAGAUGGAAGCAUAACGCUUGGUGAGCCUUUUUGGGUCCUGAAUGCAGCACGCUACACGUCUGGAAAUACCUCUCUAGGUCCCUUACUGAGGGAUAUGUCAACCAUGACUGGGGCCCAACCAAGAAUGAGCUCUGCAGCAAAUCUAGGCUGCUAUGCAAGGGGCUCUUCUGUUGGGCCGUAUGAUUCAGGACACCCUAUGGUGUCCAUGACUUCAGGGAUGGAAAAAGCUGCAGUGUGGCAAGGUCCGUGAGGGAAUCACAGUGUGAGCCCUUGGAGCUCUGGAGCAAGGCCAUGCCACCUGCAGAGCAGAAUUAUAUGCCUUUUGAGAAAUAGCUCCUGGCAUGUUCCUGGGCCCCUGUGAGAGCUGGAGUGCUCGACCAUAGGGCACUGAGUGACUCUGCAUGCACAAUUGCCCAUUAUGAAGUGGCUUUUGUUAGACACACCAAGUCAUAAUGUGGAAUAGGCCCAGCGGAAGUCCACAGCAAGAUAGAAAUGGAAUGUCUGGGAUCGAGACCAAGCAGGACCAGAGGGCAUGAGCAGGCAGCCCAAAACACCCAUGUCACCCACCCUGGUUACACCGGUGCCCCUCCUUCACCUUGCACAUAGGACCACUUAUGUGAGAAACUCAUACAAACAGAAUGAAGAGGGAAGAAAAAGCCAGCCUUUGGGAUGAGUUGGCUUGGUCUGAAUCUAAGCUGAAAAUGGAUAGCAGCUGCAUUUACAGCCACAUUCAGAGCUGGACUUGAAAGACCUUAGAGACAAAAAUCUUUCCAAUGGGCAAAGCUGGGAGCAGUGCAUCCUGUCAUUGACUUUGUGUGGAAGAAAAAGUAGCCCAAGUUGGGAAUAUAUAGAUUCCUAGGUGCCAAUGGGCUCCGUUUCAGAGGCCUGGAAGGGAAAACAAAACAAAACAAAACUGGAGCACUAGAGUCAAGGGGGUCUGGGGCAAUAUUAGCCAACCUUCAUCACUGACCAUCCCAGAAUUGACACACUGUGCCCACUGAAUGGAGUGGCCUAGACAAGGGCCGAGACAGAGGAUGUGCAUGAACUCAGCAGCAUAUAUGCCCAUUACCAAGACUGAUUUAGGUACUUCCGCCUCUGAAGUUCCAACCUGCCAGCAACAGAGACCAAACUAAGUCCCCUAAAUAGCACUGCUCUUUUAGGAGACCAACCUAUAAUUUUAUGGCAAGUAAACUAGGCCGGUCCCCUUCUUUGCUAGAAGAGCCAGCCAGUAGUUAUCUUCAACAGGGAAAACAACUAUUUGGGCUAUGGGUUUGUUUUUCUUGCUCACAGAGCUUCAGCCAACACUACUAUCUAGGAACUCACAGAAUGCCUGAUUUACAAGCAUAAAAUCUCAUACAACACAGCACCCAACCAGGGGACCCAUUUCACCGCAAAGGAGAUAUGGAAGUGGGCUCAUGACCAUGGGAUCUAUGCAUUACAUCAUCUACAGCACCAUCCAAGAGAAGUGGCUUUUCACUGGUGGCCUUCCAAAGGUGCAAAUGAGGUGCCACCUUGCUGACAGUACUCUGCAAAAUGGGGUGCCUUCCUUUGGGAUGCACUAUAGACACUAAAUCAGAGAACUUUAUAUGGUGAUGUGUCUUCUAUAGGAAACAGAAGCAUCUGAGACCCAAGGGAUGGAAACAAGAGAGGCUUCACUUGUCAUCACUGUCUGUGACCACCGAGAGACUUGGUGCUUCUUGGGCAACUCUGUGAUCAUGGAUGGUAAAGUCCUGGUACCCAAUGGGGUACAUUCUUACCAGGGUACACAGCAAGGGUCCCAUUGAACUAUAUGCUAUGGCUACUGCCAGGGAACUGUGGACUCCUUAUAACCAUGUUCCAGCAGGUGAAAAGAGUCACCAUCAUGGCAGGGAUAAUGGACCCUUACCAGCAGAAGCAGACUGCCCGUCUCAUGCUCUUACAGGAGAGCAGGGCAGAAUAAUGUGCAAGUCCAAGUAAUCCACUUAGGUAUUUCUUGGCAGACGUUGCCCAGAUGAAGCAGUGAACGGACGUGUAGCAAAUGCAACCCAAAAUGGGUAUAAUUACCAAGGCCUCAGACCCUGUAAGAAUGAGGGUUUGGGUCACAGCACCAAGUAAGUCAUCAAGACUUUCCCUCAGGAAGACUUUCCCUCAGGAAGAGAGGUCCACAGUUCCUUGAAUAUGUGGAGCAAAGGAUCUGAGCAGCACAAGGGGUGGACUGGGGAACUCAUGAAGGUGCAAUGCUCAGAUCUUCCUUCAUGAAAACCUGCUGUCCAAGCCGGGUCAAUGCUCUACCCAGGAUGCCUGAGCCAGUGAGUGGGCAUGGUGGGGGUACUGAAGGUGGUCCACUUCUGCCUGACGCAGGACUCAUCCAAUGAGCAACCUUCUACUCCAGGGUUGCCUGGCUUUCUCAGAGCUGUAACGCAGACUAAAACUCUUCCACCCAAUCUUCCUUCCCUGCCCCUUUCACAGGUGUUGGACCCGCAUCUCAGGCUGAAGUCUCUCCCUGUGUAUUCCGCCUCCCUCACCCUUUUAUCCAUUGCAGGCAUUUCUCCCAACAAAUCUCUUGAAUUUCUAAUUCCAUCUGGCAUCUGCUCCCCAGAGGACUUGAACUGACAUAUUGGUGUACAAGAAUAAACACGCUCAAUACUGUGAAGUA